rnacentral:lncRNA from 1 species
CCGGCAGCCCAGUAGCCAUGGCGUCUUAUUUUGAUGAGCACGACUGCGAGCCGUUGAACCCUGAGCGUGAGGCCCGCAACAAUAUGUUGCUAGAACUCGCGAGAAGAAUCACUCUUUAAUAGGAUGGACUUUGAGGACCUGGGAUUGGUAGAUUGGGAACACCACCUUCCCCCACCAGCUGCCAAGGCUGUGGUGGAGAGCCUCCCCAGAACAGUCAUCCGUAGCUCCAAGGCUGAGCUCAAGUGUCCCGUGUGUCUUUUGGAAUUUGAGGAGGAGGAGACUGUCAUUGAGAUGCCCUGCCAUCAUCUCUUCCAUUCCAACUGCAUUCUGCCCUGGUUAAGUAAGACAAAUUCCUGCCCUCUGUGCCGCCAUGAGCUGCCCACCGAUGACGACAGUUAUGAAGAGCACAAGAAAGACAAGGCUCGGAGGCAGCAGCAGCAGCACCGCCUGGAGAACCUCCAUGGAGCCAUGUACACGUGAGGCAGCAGCUAGGGCUGAGAGCUCAGCCUCUGUGAUAUCUUCCCUUUGCACUUUGAAUCUUCAUUAAAGGUUUCUUUAACCACCCUGCA